UUUUUGAAUCGAGCCAUCAAUAAGUCCUUUACCUGUUAGAUGGAUAAUUUGGUAAUCUUCGAGCAGUGCCUCUAAAUUUUCACGAAUAACACUAUUUAAUUUUUUACUUCCUAGACUACCUCCCAUUACUAAUAAGACUUUUUUAUCUUUAUCAAAUUGAGUUAAUUCAUACC
rnacentral:ncRNA from 1 species